CAGCAGCCGCGGGAAUACGUAGGGUGCAAGCGUUAAUCGGAAUUACUGGGCGUAAAGCGUGCGCAGGCGGUUUGGUAAGACAGAUGUGAAAUCCCAGGGCUCAACCUGGGAACUGCAUUUGUGACUGGCAGGCUAGAGUAUGGCAGAGGGGGGUGGAAUUCCGCGUGUAGCAGUGAAAUGCGUAGAUAUGCGGAGGAACACCGAUGGCGAAGGCAGCCCCCUGGGCCAAUACUGACGCUCAUGCACGAAAGCGUGGGGAGCAAACAGGAUUAGAGACCCCCGUAGUCCCUGUCUCUUAUAC
rnacentral:rRNA from 1 species